rnacentral:rRNA from 1 species
AUUGAACGCUGGCGGCAGGCCUAACACAUGCAAGUCGAACGAGUGGCGGACGGGUGAGUAAUGUCUGGGAAACUGCCUGAUGGAGGGGGAUAACUACUGGAAACGGUAGCUAAUACCGCAUACCAUCGGAUGUGCCCAGAUGGGAUUAGCUAGUAGGUGGGGUAACGGCUCACCUAGGCGACGAUCCCUAGCUGGUCUGAGAGGAUGACCAGCCACACGGGAAAUGAGACACGGGCCAGACUCCUACGGGAGGCAGCAGUGGGGAAUAUUGCACAAUGGGCGCAAGCCUGAUGCAGCCAUGCCGCGUGUAUGAAGAAGGCCUUCGGGUUGUAAAGGACUUUCAGCGGGGAGGCGUUACCCGCAGAAGAAGCAACGGCUAACUCCGUGCCAGCAGCCGCGGUAAUUC